rnacentral:rRNA from 2 species
UUAAGCGACUAAGCGUACACGGUGGAUGCCCUGGCAGUCAGAGGCGAUGAAGGACGUGCUAAUCUGCGAUAAGCGCCGGUAAGGUGAUAUGAACCGUUAUAACCGGCGAUUUCCGAAUGGGGAAACCCAGUGUGAUUCGUCACACUAUCAUUAACUGAAUCCAUAGGUUAAUGAGGCGAACCGGGGGAACUGAAACAUCUAAGUACCCCGAGGAAAAGAAAUCAACCGAGAUUCCCCCAGUAGCGGCGAGCGAACGGGGAGGAGCCCAGAGCCUGAAUCAGCAUGUGUGUUAGUGGAAGCGUCUGGAAAGGCGCGCGAUACAGGGUGACAGCCCCGUACACAAAAGCGCAUGUGCUGUGAGCUCGAUGAGUAGGGCGGGACACGUGGUAUCCUGUCUGAAUAUGGGGGGACCAUCCUCCAAGGCUAAAUACUCCUGACUGACCGAUAGUGAACCAGUACCGUGAGGGAAAGGCGAAAAGAACCCCGGCGAGGGGAGUGAAAAAGAACCUGAAACCGUGUACGUACAAGCAGUGGGAGCACAGGUUUACCUGUGUGACUGCGUACCUUUUGUAUAAUGGGUCAGCGACUUAUAUUCUGUAGCAAGGUUAACCGUAUAGGGGAGCCGGAGGGAAACCGAGUCUUAACCGGGCGUUAAGUUGCAGGGUAUAGACCCGAAACCCGGUGAUCUAGCCAUGGGCAGGUUGAAGGUUGGGUAACACUAACUGGAGGACCGAACCGACUAAUGUUGAAAAAUUAGCGGAUGACCUGUGGCUGGGGGUGAAAGGCCAAUCAAACCGGGAGAUAGCUGGUUCUCCCCGAAAGCUAUUUAGGUAGCGCCUCGUGAAUUCAUCUCCGGGGGUAGAGCACUGUUUCGGCUAGGGGGCCAUCCCGGCUUACCAACCCGAUGCAAACUGCGAAUACCGGAGAAUGUUAUCACGGGAGACACACGGCGGGUGCUAACGUCCGUCGUGAAGAGGGAAACAACCCAGACCGCCAGCUAAGGUCCCAAAGUCAUGGUUAAGUGGGAAACGAUGUGGGAAGGCCCAGACAGCCAGGAUGUUGGCUUAGAAGCAGCCAUCAUUUAAAGAAAGCGUAAUAGCUCACUGGUCGAGUCGGCCUGCGCGGAAGAUGUAACGGGGCUAAACCAUGCACCGAAGCUGCGGCAGCGAACGUAUCACCCAAGACAACUUUACGGAGUUGACGAUUGACGGAGCGAAGCGACGUCAAAGCGUUCAUUAAAGUCGAGUUGGCUUAGGGAUACGUUCGUUGGGUAGGGGAGCGUUCUGUAAGCCUGUGAAGGUGUGUCGUGAGGCAUGCUGGAGGUAUCAGAAGUGCGAAUGCUGACAUAAGUAACGAUAAAGCGGGUGAAAAGCCCGCUCGCCGGAAGACCAAGGGUUCCUGUCCAACGUUAAUCGGGGCAGGGUGAGUCGACCCCUAAGGCGAGGCCGAAAGGCGUAGUCGAUGGGAAACGGGUUAAUAUUCCCGUACUUGGUGUUACUGCGAAGGGGGGACGGAGAAGGCUAUGUUGGCCGGGCGACGGUUGUCCCGGUUUAAGCGUGUAGGUGUGUGUUCCAGGUAAAUCCGGUUCACUUUAACACUGAGGCGUGACGACGAGGCACUACGGUGCUGAAGCAACAAAUGCCCUGCUUCCAGGAAAAGCCUCUAAGCAUCAGGUAACACGAAAUCGUACCCCAAACCGACACAGGUGGUCAGGUAGAGAAUACCAAGGCGCUUGAGAGAACUCGGGUGAAGGAACUAGGCAAAAUGGUGCCGUAACUUCGGGAGAAGGCACGCUGACACGUAGGUGAAGUGAUUUACUCAUGGAGCUGAAGUCAGUCGAAGAUACCAGCUGGCUGCAACUGUUUAUUAAAAACACAGCACUGUGCAAACACGAAAGUGGACGUAUACGGUGUGACGCCUGCCCGGUGCCGGAAGGUUAAUUGAUGGGGUCAGCGCAAGCGAAGCUCCUGAUCGAAGCCCCGGUAAACGGCGGCCGUAACUAUAACGGUCCUAAGGUAGCGAAAUUCCUUGUCGGGUAAGUUCCGACCUGCACGAAUGGCGUAAUGAUGGCCAGGCUGUCUCCACCCGAGACUCAGUGAAAUUGAACUCGCUGUGAAGAUGCAGUGUACCCGCGGCAAGACGGAAAGACCCCGUGAACCUUUACUAUAGCUUGACACUGAACAUUGAGCCUUGAUGUGUAGGAUAGGUGGGAGGCUUUGAAGUGUGGACGCCAGUCUGCAUGGAGCCGACCUUGAAAUACCACCCUUUAAUGUUUGAUGUUCUAACGUGGACCCGUAAUCCGGGUUGCGGACAGUGUCUGGUGGGUAGUUUGACUGGGGCGGUCUCCUCCUAAAGAGUAACGGAGGAGCACGAAGGUUGGCUAAUCCUGGUCGGACAUCAGGAGGUUAGUGCAAUGGCAUAAGCCAGCUUGACUGCGAGCGUGACGGCGCGAGCAGGUGCGAAAGCAGGUCAUAGUGAUCCGGUGGUUCUGAAUGGAAGGGCCAUCGCUCAACGGAUAAAAGGUACUCCGGGGAUAACAGGCUGAUACCGCCCAAGAGUUCAUAUCGACGGCGGUGUUUGGCACCUCGAUGUCGGCUCAUCACAUCCUGGGGCUGAAGUAGGUCCCAAGGGUAUGGCUGUUCGCCAUUUAAAGUGGUACGCGAGCUGGGUUUAGAACGUCGUGAGACAGUUCGGUCCCUAUCUGCCGUGGGCGCUGGAGAACUGAGGGGGGCUGCUCCUAGUACGAGAGGACCGGAGUGGACGCAUCACUGGUGUUCGGGUUGUCAUGCCAAUGGCACUGCCCGGUAGCUAAAUGCGGAAGAGAUAAGUGCUGAAAGCAUCUAAGCACGAAACUUGCCCCGAGAUGAGUUCUCCCUGAGACUUAGAGUCUCCUGAAGGAACGUUGAAGACGACGACGUUGAUAGGCCGGGUGUGUAAGCGCAGCGAUGCGUUGAGCUAACCGGUACUAAUGAACCGUGAGGCUUAACCUU